rnacentral:rRNA from 1 species
GCGCCUACACAUGCAAGUCGAACGCAGUAGCAAUACUGAGUGGCAAACGGGUGAGUAUAAUGUGGGAAUCUGCCUUUUGGUUUGGAAUAACACGGGGAAACUUGUGCUAAUACCGAAUAAGCCCUUACGGGGAAAGUUUUAACGCCGAAAGAUGAGCCUGCACUUGAUUAGCUAGUUGGUAAGGUAAAAGCUUACCAAGGCAACGAUCAAUAGCUGUUCUUAGAGGAAGACCAGCCACAUUGGGACUGAGACACGGCCCAGACUCCUACGGGAGGCAGCAGUGGGGAAUCUUGCACAAUGGGGGAAACCCUGAUGCAGCGAUGCCGCGUGAGUGAAGAAGGCCCUUGGGUUGUAAAACUCUUUCGUCGGGGAAGAAAAUGACUGUACCCGAAUAAGAAGGUCCGGCUAACUUCGUGCCAGCAGCCGCGGUAAUACGAAGGGACCUAGCGUAGUUCGGAAUUACUGGGCUUAAAGAGCUCGUAGGUGGUUAAAAUAGUUGAUGGUGAAAUCCCAAGGCUCAACCUUGGAACUGCCAUCAAAACUUUUUAGCUAGAGUGUGAUAGAGGUAAGUGGAAUUUCUAGUGUAGAGGUGAAAUUCGUAGAUAUUAGAAAGAACACCAAAUGCGAAGGCAACUUACUGGGUCACUACUGACACUGAGGAGCGAAAGCAUGGGUAGCGAAGAGGAUUAGAUACCCUCGUAGUCCAUGCCGUAAACGAUGUGUGCUAGACGUUGGAAAUAUAUUUUUCAGUGUCGCAGCGAAAGCAUUAAGCACACCGCCUGGGGAGUACGACCGCAAGGUUAAAACUCAAAUGAAUUGACGGGGACCCGCACAAGCAGU